AGAGCUGCUGUUUACAUUGCUUCGGAGAAUCACAGUAGUAGUGGGGUUAAAACCAAAACCCACUGCCAAAGCAAAAUAGCGUCAAUUUAGUCGGGCUGGUUUGAUUUCUUGCCUCCACUGGCUUCCAGGAAUAAAGGCUGCAGGAACAAGUUGAAUAAGGGUUUGGAAGUGAAAAGUUAAGAGUGAGUUGCAAUUUCCAGAUCUUCAAUCGUGCAAAAGUGAGGAAGCGUCUGCUUCUUGGGAGUUUCGAGAUGAAGGGCUUUGUGCAGGCUGAAUACCUCAACUGAUCUGUUCAGAGAUGAAAAGUUCAAAAGGGAGACAUUCAGAAUGAAUCCUACUAAGUGAAGAUGUAAUGGGCGGCAACUCGAGCAAUUUGACAAGAAGUAAUCUAUAUUUGAAAGUGGCGAAGAGGGAACGAGAAGC